GUGAGGAAUUUUGCGCAAUGGGGGCAACCCUGACGCAGCGACGCCGCGUGGAGGACGAAGUCUUUCGGGAUGUAAACUCCUGUCAGUGGGGACGAUAAUGACGGUACCCACAGAGGAAGCACCGGCUAACUCCGUGCCAGCAGCCGCGGUAAGACGGAGGGUGCAAGCGUUGUUCGGAAUUACUGGGCGUAAAGCGUAUGUAGGCGGCAAGUUAAGUUCAAUGUUAAAGCCCACGGCUCAACCGAGGAGAUGCAUUGAAUACUGGCUAGGUAGAGGGUGUUAGAGGAAGACGGAAUUCCCAGUGUAGCGGUGAAAUGCGUAGAUAUUGGGAGGAACAUCGGUAGCGAAAGCGAUCUUCUGGGACAUACCUGACGCUGAGGUACGAAAGCGUGGAGAGCAAACGGGAUUAGAUACCCGUGUAGUCC
rnacentral:rRNA from 1 species